rnacentral:misc_RNA from 1 species
AUCCUUUGACAACGGAUCACUUGGUUCUGGCAUCGAUGAAGAACGCAGCGAAAUGCGAUAAGUAAUGUGAAUUGCAGAAUUCAGUGAAUCAUAGAAUCUUUGAACGCACAUUGCGCCCUCUGGUAUUCCGGGGGGCAUGCCUGUUCGAGCGUCAUUACAACCCUCAAGCUUUGCUUGGUAUUGGACAUUGCCAGUUUCUGGCAGGUCUUAAAAUCAGUGGCGGUGCCAUUGGGCUUCAAGCGUAGUAAUUCUUCUCGCUUCGGAGAUCCAGGUGGUUACUUGCCAAUAACCCCCAAUUUUUUCAGGUUGACCUCGGAUCAGGUAGGGAUACCCGCUGAACUUAAGCAUAUCAAUAAGCGGAGGCU